UACGUAGGGGGCAAGCGUUGUCCGGAAUCAUUGGGCGUAAAGCGCGUGUAGGCGGCCCAGUAAGUCCGCUCUGAAAGCCCGGGGCUCAACUCCGGGAGGCGGGUGGAUACUGCUGGGCUCGAGUCCGGAAGAGGCGAGUGGAAUUCCUGGUGUAGCGGUGGAAUGCGCAGAUAUCAGGAAGAACACCCGUGGCUAAGGCGGCUCUCUAGUACGGUACUGACGCUGAGACGCGAAAGCGUGGGGAGCGAACAGG
rnacentral:rRNA from 1 species